GACGAACCGUGCAAACGUUGUUCGGAAUCACUGGGCUUAAAGGGCGCGUAGGCGGUCGAUCCAGUCCGGGGUGAAAUCCUGCAGCUUAACUGUAGAAGUGCCUUGGAUACUGAUCGGCUCGAGGGAGGUAGGGGUCAUUGGAACUUCUGGUGGAGCGGUGAAAUGCGUUGAUAUCAGAAGGAACGCCGGUGGCGAAAGCGAAUGACUGGACCUCUUCUGACGCUGAGGCGCGAAAGCCAGGGGAGCAAACGGG
rnacentral:rRNA from 1 species